rnacentral:rRNA from 1 species
GACAGAGGGGGCAAGCGUUGUUCGGAAUUACUGGGCGUAAAGGGCUCGUAGGCGGCCAACUAAGUCAGACGUGAAAUCCCUCAGCUUAACUGGGGAACUGCGUCUGAUACUGGAUGGCUUGGAUUCGGGAGAGGAAUGCGGAAUUCCAGGUGUAGCGGUGAAAUGCGUAGAUAUCAAGAGGAACACCUGCGGCGAAGGCGGGUUGCUGGGCCGACACUGACGCUGAUGCGCGAAAGCCAGGGGAGCGAACGGG